rnacentral:rRNA from 1 species
UCCCCCUAGUAACUGCGAGUGAAGCGGGAAAAGCUCAAAUUUAAAAUCUGGUGGUCUUUGGCCAUCCGAGUUGUAAUUUAGAGAAGCGUCUUCCGCGCUGGACCGUGCAUAAKUCUCCUGGAAUGGAGCGUCAUAGAGGGUGAGAAUCCCGUCUUUGGCACGGAAAUCCCAGGGCUUCUGUGAUGCGCUCUCGAAGAGUCGAGUUGUUUGGGAAUGCAGCUCAAAAUGGGUGGUGAACUCCAUCUAAAGCUAAAUAUUGGCGAGAGACCGAUAGCGAACAAGUACCGUGAGGGAAAGAUGAAAAGCACUUUGGAAAGAGAGUGAAACAGUACGUGAAAUUGUUGAAAGGGAAACGCUUAAAGUCAGUCACGUCGACCGAGACUCAGCCUUGCCUAGGCUUGGUGUACUUCUCGGCUGAUGGGUCAGCAUCAAUUUUGAUCCUCGGAUAAUGGCAAUGGAAAGGUAGCACCUUUACAGGUGUGUUAUAGUCCUAUGUCGCAUGCGGGGGUCGGGAUUGAGGAACUCAGCAUGCACCCCUUGGUGUCAGGGCCUCUGCGGCCCAUGUUACGUGCUUAGGAUGCUGGCAUAAUGGCUUUAAACGACCCGUCUUGAAACACGGACCAAGGAGUCUAACAUACCCGCGAGUGUUUGGGUGGAAAACCCAUGCGCGUAAUGAAAGUAAAAGUUGGGACCUCUGUCGUGGAGGGCACCGACGCCUGGACCAGACCUUCUGUGACGGCUCUACGGUAGAGCGUGUAUGUUGGGACCCGAAAGAUGGUGAACUAUGCCUGAAUAGGGUGAAGCCAGAGGAAACUCUGGUGGAGGCUCGUAGCGAUUCUGACGUGCAAAUCGAUCGUCAAAUUUGGGUAUAGGGGCGAA